rnacentral:lncRNA from 1 species
ACUCCAACAAGGUUUACUGAUAGUGAAAAAGUAAAAAAUGAAUAGGAAAUGAGGCUUAUAUAAGGAAACAUGGGUAGGAGGCCAAAGGUCGCAUCCUGAACCGUUCGAUCAUGCCACGUGUCCUACAUCCUAGGGUCUAAAAGUUACACCGCCUUUGUAUUAGGGCUGGCAUCACUACCACAUCUGACGUCAGCCCUCACGAAUCCUUCCUCUGCAAUGAAUUGUCG